GGCUCUCACCCUUUCACCCUCAUCGAGCCUCUCGCCUCCAUCUCUCUCGUUUUCCCAUCAAAUCUUGACCCUUCUUCUUCCUCCCAGCUGCCGCGUCUUCAGCUUUGAGAUGCGCCACCGCUUCUCCGACCCAGUCAAGUAGUGGUCGGAGGCCGCCGGAAAGCUCUCUCCGGCCGGCGGCACCAACCUUCUCGAGAAGGGCAGCUUCGAGUACUACGCCGAACUCGCCUACUCGACCGCCUCCUCCGCGGCCGCAAGCUCGUCGAGUCCACCGACAGCCUCGCUUUCUCCGACGGCAACUCCACUUUUCAGAUCACCUCUUUGGGAUAUUCGCAUUAUACGACGGUGCAAUUGGGGACGCCGGUAAUAAAGUUUAUGAUGGCGCUUGAUACUGGGAGUGACCUGUUUUGGGUGUCUUGUGAAGGAACAGCUUAUGCUCCUGUAAGUUUAGUUAUUUAUAAACAAAUUGA